CCUACGGGUGGCUGCAGUGAGGAAUAUUGGUCAAUGGGCGCAAGCCUGAACCAGCCAAGCCGCGUGAGGGAUUAAGGCCCUGCGGGUCGUAAACCCCUUUUGCCGGGGAGCAGAGGUCAGGACGUGUCCGGGCCGGGAGAGUACCCGGCGACAAAGCAUCGGCCCACUCCGUGCCAGCAGCCGCGGUAAUACGGAGGAUGCGAGCGUUAUCCGGAUUGAUUGGGUUUACAGGGUGCGUAGGCGGGCAUUUAAGCCGGCGGUCAAAUGUCGGGGCUAAACCCGGGCUUGCCGUCGGAACUGGGUGCCUAGAGUGGGGGAGAGGUAUGCAGAAUGCGUGGUGUAGCGGUGAAAUGCGUAGAGA
rnacentral:rRNA from 1 species